rnacentral:rRNA from 1 species
UACGAAGGGGGCUAGCGUUGCUCGGAAUCACUGGGCGUAAAGCGCACGUAGGCGGCUUCUUAAGUCAGGGGUGAAAUCCCGGGGCUCAACCUCGGAACUGCCCUUGAAACUGCAGUGCUAGAAUCUUGGAGAGGCGAGUGGAAUUCCGAGUGUAGAGGUGAAAUUCGUAGAUAUUCGGAAGAACACCAGUGGCGAAGGCGACUCGCUGGACAAGUAUUGACGCUGAGACGCGAAAGCGUGGGGAGCAAACAGG